rnacentral:misc_RNA from 1 species
CCGAGUUAUACAACUCAUCAACCCCUGUGAACAUACCUAUACGUUGCUUCGGCGGGAUCAGACGCGCCCCGUAACAACGGGCCGGCCCCGCCGCAGGAUCCACUAACUCUGUUUUUAUAUGUAACUUUCUGAGUAACAAACAAAUAAAUUA